GUAAAGGGUGCGUAGGUGGUUAGAUAAGUCUUAGGUGUAAGUGCAGAGCUUAACUCUGUGAUGCUAGAGAAACUGUCUGACUUGAGUGUGGUAGAGGCAAGUGGAAUUCCAUGUGUAGCGGUAAAAUGCGUAAAUAUAUGGAGGAACACCAGUGGCGAAGGCGGCUUGCUGGGCCAUAACUGACACUGAGGCACGAAAGCGUGGGGAGCAAACAGGAUUAGAUACCCUGGUAGUCCACGCCGUAAACGAUGAGUACUAAGUGUUGGAGAAAUUCAGUGCUGUAGUUAACGCAAUAAGUACUCCGCCUGAGUAGUACGUGCGCAAGCAUGAAACUCAAAGGAAUUGACGGGACCCCGCACAAGCGGUGGAUCAUGUUGUUUAAUUCGAUGAUACGCGAAGAACCUUACCAGGUCUUGACAUCCCAUGCAAAGCUAUAGAGAUAUAGUGGAGGUUAUCAUGGAGACAGGUGGUGCAUGGUUGUCGUCAGCUCGUGUCGUGAGAUGUUGGGUUAAGUCCCGCAACGAGCGCAAACCUUAUUGCUAGUUACCAUCAUUAAGUUGGGGACUCUAGCGAGACUGCCAGUGAUAAACUGGAGGAAGGUGGGGAUGACGUCAAAUCAGCAUGCCCCUUAUGACCUGGGCUACAAACGUGAUACAAUGGCUGAAACAAAGGGCAGCGAAGCAGUGAUGUGAAGCGAAACCCAAAAAAGCAGUCUCAGUUCGGAUUGAAGUCUGCAACUCGACUUCAUGAAGUCGGAAUCGCUAGUAAUCGCGAAUCAGAACG
rnacentral:rRNA from 1 species